rnacentral:rRNA from 1 species
UUGACCUCGGAUCAGKUAGGAAUACCCGCUGAACUUAAGCAUAUCAAAAGCCGGAGGAA